rnacentral:rRNA from 1 species
GAUGAACGCUAGCGGCAGGCCUAAUACAUGCAAAUCGAACGAUAGUGAGAAGCUUGCUUCUCACGAAAGUGGCGCACGGGUGCGUAACGCGUAUGCAACCUACCUUAAUCAGGGGGAUAGCCCGAAGAAAUUCGGAUUAACACCGCAUAAAAUCACAGUAUAGCAUUAUACAAUGAUCAAAUAUUUAUAGGAUUAAGAUGGGCAUGCGUGACAUUAGUUAGUUGGCGGGGUAACGGCCCACCAAGACCACGAUGUCUAGGGGAUCUGAGAGGAUGACUCCCCACACUGGUACUGAGACACGGACCAGACUCCUACGGGAGGCAGCAGUAAGGAAUAUUGGUCAAUGGAGGCAACUCUGAACCAGCCAUGCCGCGUGCAGGAAGACAGCCCUCUGGGUCGUAAACUGCUUUUAUUCGGGAAUAAACCUAUCUACGUGUAGAUAGCUGAAUGUACCGAAGGAAUAAGGAUCGGCUAACUCCGUGCCAGCCGCCGCAGUAA